UACCUACACUUCCACUGGAGUUGUGAGUAUUUUUCUUUUUAUAUUUAUGCAUAAAUUUUGAUUUUUCUGGCAUUUAAUGAUCGGUUUGAUUGGCAUGUUAAUCUAUAGGAGUUCCCCUUUUUAUUUUUGGGGAUUUAUUCCUUGUCUGGUUGCUAAGAAAAGGAAUGAAAAUCAAAGAAAAUUACACUUUGCUUUCAGGUUUUAUUUAACAAAUAAGAAGGUUCAGCUGGAUAAAUAUUGAAACAUUAUUCUAAUUUAUUUGAUUUUUAUGAUUGAAUUUUAGGAAUCUAAGUAGUACUAAUUAAGUCAAUUUUCUAAAGCAACCAAAUUGAUUGAAUUUCUGCCACUUGCAACUGUUUGUGUAAUUGUUAGGUACAUUUUAUUAGAGUAAGGUAUUUCACAUUAUAUGUGUGUAGGACCGCGUGAGGGGGCCGUGAGACGAAAUAUCAUUCAUUAGAAUUAU
rnacentral:misc_RNA from 1 species